rnacentral:rRNA from 1 species
AAUCAAUCAAUAAAGGACAUAUGGUGGAGAUCUAGGGACCUAGAGCCGAUGAAGGGCGUGAUAACCGACGAUAUGCUUCGGGGAGCAGGACGUAUGCUUUGAUCCGAAGAUUCCCGAAUAGGGCAACCUUAAACAUUCCUUCUUGAAUUCAUAGAGAAGAGAAAGUCAACUCAGUGAACUGAAACAUCUUAGUAGCUGAAGGAAAAGAAAGCAAAAGCGAUUCCCAAAGUAGCGGCGAGCGAAAUGGGAC